rnacentral:rRNA from 1 species
CUUGACACUGAACAUUGAGCCUUGAUGUGUAGGAUAGGUGGGAGGCUUUGAAGUGUGGACGCCAGUCUGCAUGGAGCCGACCUUGAAAUACCACCCUUUAAUGUUUGAUGUUCUAACGUUGGCCCCUAAUCGGGGUUGCGGACAGUGUCUGGUGGGUAGUUUGACUGGGGCGGUCUCCUCCUAAAGAGUAACGGAGGAGCACGAAGGUUGGCUAAUCCUGGUCGGACAUCAGGAGGUUAGUGCAAUGGCAUAAGC